rnacentral:rRNA from 1 species
UACGGGGGGGGUAAGCGUUGUUCGGAAUUACUGGGCGUAAAGGGCUCGUAGGCGGCCAACUAAGUCGGACGUGAAAUCCCUCAGCUUAACUGGGGAACUGCGUCCGAUACUGGAUGGCUUGGAUUUGGGAGAGGGAAGCGGAAUUCCCGGUGUAGUGGUGAAAUGCGUAGAUAUCGGGAGGAACACCAGUGGCGAAGGCGGCUUCCUGGCCUGUUCUUGACGCUGAGGCGCGAAAGCUAGGGUAGCAAACGGG